UAGGGAAUCUUCGGCAAUGGGGGCAACCCUGACCGAGCAACGCCGCGUGAGUGAAGAAGGUUUUCGGAUCGUAAAGCUCUGUUGUAAGAGAAGAACGUGUGUGAGAGUGGAAAGUUCACACAGUGACGGUAACUUACCAGAAAGGGACGGCUAACUACGUGCCAGCAGCCGCGGUAAUACGUAGGUCCCGAGCGUUGUCCGGAUUUAUUGGGCGUAAAGCGAGCGCAGGCGGUUUAAUAAGUCUGAAGUUAAAGGCAGUGGCUUAACCAUUGUUCGCUUUGGAAACUGUUAAACUUGAGUGCAGAAGGGGAGAGUGGAAUUCCAUGUGUGGCGGUGAAAUGCGUAGAUAUAUGGAGGAACACCGGUGGCGAAAGCGGCUCUCUGGUCUGUAACUGACGCUGAGGCUCGAAAGCGUGGGGAGCAAACAGG
rnacentral:rRNA from 1 species